rnacentral:rRNA from 1 species
CAGCCGCCACGGUAAGACAGAGGUGCAAACGUUGUACGGAAUUACUGGGCGUAAAGCGAGUGUAGGCGGUCUCAAAAGUCAGGUGUGAAAGCCCUGGGCUCAACCCAGGAAGUGCACUUGAAACUGCGAGGCUAGAGUACUGGAGAGGUUGGUGGAAUUCUCGGUGUAGAGGUGAAAUUCGUAGAUAUCGAGAGGAACACCGGUGGCGAAGGCGGCCAACUGGACAGAUACUGACGCUGAGACUCGAAAGCGUGGGGAGCAAACAGGAUUAGAUACCCCCGUAGUCCCUGUCUCUUAUACA